UGUGCAGUGGGGGUGGCUGUUUUGGUGCUUUUGGUAUACUUUGGGAAUCGAUCCAAAUUAAUGAAAAUGAAAGGGGUACACAGGAAACAGAAUGAUUUGGACCAUCAGAGCCAACAGGAAGUGCAUGGAGGAGAUGCUGAGAGGGUCACUUAUAUCACACUGGAUUUGAAAAGUUCCAAUAAACUUUCAAGACCGAAACAUCAGGAAGACAGGACAGUGUACGCCAAGAUCAAGCAAAA